rnacentral:misc_RNA from 1 species
UAGGGAGACCUACCUGUUGAAUAACUGAAAGCGCUUGCGCAAUUAGGCUAUCAACUGGUCAUCCCAAAGGUCGUUCGGAUUUAGAUGUUAGACUUUCGAAGCUAUAUAGAGACUGGUUCGGGGCAUAGACUGUGAGGGCUAUUAGCUCAGCUGGUUAGAGCGCACCCCUGAUAAGGGUGAGGUCCCUGGUUCGAGUCCAGGAUGGCCCACCAUUAUUUCAUCAUCACUAACGUAAUGAGCGAAAGGGGGUUUAGCUCAGUUGGUAGAGCGCCUGCUUUGCAAGCAGGAUGUCAACGGUUCGAGUCCGUUAACCUCCACUGGGUAAAUUAAGCCCUAGCAAAAGAAUUGAGAAAAGAUUUCAGCAACUUAUCUAGAGGGUAGUUAUUUAUCCAAUGCUAGAGAGCCUGCUGAGGUUAGCCUCAGUAAGAACCUUGAAAACUGCAUAGAAACUUGUCAGGUAGUCGUCAAUUAGGACUUUGAUUAGCCCCUAGUUGACGAAAAUAUCACAGACACCAAUGUAAGUUUGCGAACAAAAAGU